UACAGAGGGUGCGAGCGUUAAUCGGAAUUACUGGGCGUAAAGCGUGCGUAGACGGCUAUCUAAGUCAGACGUGAAAUCCCUCGGCUUAACCGGGGAACUGCGUCUGAUACUGGAUGGCUUGAGUGUGGGAGAGGGAUGCGGAAUUCCAGGUGUAGCGGUGAAAUGCGUAGAUAUCUGGAGGAACACCGGUGGCGAAGGCGGCAUCCUGGACCACGACUGACGCUGAGUGAGCGAAAGCCAGGGGAGCAAACGGG
rnacentral:rRNA from 1 species